rnacentral:SRP_RNA from 1 species
GCCAGGCGUGGUGGCGCAUGCCUGUAGUCCCAGCUAUUCGAGAGGCUGAGGCCGGAGGAUCUCUUGAGUCCAGGAGUUCUGGGCUGUAAUGUGCUAUGCCAAUUGGGUAUUCACACUAAGUUCGGCAUCAAUAUGGUGACCUCCUGGGAGUGGGGGAACCACCAGGUUGCCUAAGGAGGAGUGAACCAGCCCAGGUCAGAAAUGGAGCAGGUCAAAACUCCAGUGCUGAUCAGCAGUGGGAUCGCGCCUGUGAAUAGCCACUGCACUCCAGCCUGGGCAACAUAGCGAGACCCUGUCUCU